CCUACGGGAGACAGCAGUGAGGAAUAUUGGUCAAUGGGCGCGAGCCUGAACCAGCCAAGUAGCGUGAAGGAUGACUGCCCUACGGGUUGUAAACUUCUUUUAUAAAGGAAUAAAGUGAGGCACGUGUGCCUUUUUGUAUGUACCUUAUGAAUAAGGAUCGGCUAACUCCGUGCCAGCAGCCGCGGUAAUACGGAGGAUCCGAGCGUUAUCCGGAUUUAUUGGGUUUAAAGGGUGCGUAGGCGGCCUUUUAAGUCAGCGGUGAAAGUCUGUGGCUCAACCAUAGAAUUGCCGUUGAAACUGGGGGGCUUGAGGAUGUUUGAGGCAGGCGGAAUGCGUGGUGUAGCGGUGAAAUGCUUAGAUAGCACGCAGAACCCCGAUUGCGAAGGCAGCCUGCCAAGCCAUGACUGACGCUGAUGCACGAAAGCGUGGGGAUCAAACAGGAUUAGAUACCCGUGUAGUC
rnacentral:rRNA from 1 species